rnacentral:rRNA from 1 species
CAGGUUUACCUGUGUGACUGCGUACCUUUUGUAUAAUGGGUCAGCGACUUAUAUUCUGUAGCAAGGUUAACCGAAUAGGGGAGCCGGAGGGAAACCGAGUCUUAAUUGGGCGUUAAGUUGCAGGGUAUAGACCCGAAACCCGGUGAUCUAGCCAUGGGCAGGUUGAAGGUUGGGUAACACUAACUGGAGGACCGAACCGACUAAUGUUGAAAAAUUAGCGGAUGACCUGUGGCUGGGGGUGAAAGGCCAAUCAAACCGGGAGAUAGCUGGUUCUCCCCGAAAGCUAUUUAGGUAGCGCCUCGUGAAUUCAUCUCCGGGGGUAGAGCACUGUUUCGGCUAGGGGGCCAUCCCGGCUUACCAACCCGAUGCAAACUGCGAAUACCGGAGAAUGUUAUCACGGGAGACACACGGCGGGUGCUAACGUCCGUCGUGAAGAGGGAAACAACCCAGACCGCCAGCUAAGGUCCCAAAGUCAUGGUUAAGUGGGAAACGAUGUGGGAAGGCCCAGACAGCCAGGAUGUUGGCUUAGAAGCAGCCAUCAUUUAAAGAAAGCGUAAUAGCUCACUGGUCGAGUCGGCCUGCGCGGAAGAUGUAACGGGGCUAAACCAUGCACCGAAGCUGCGGCAGCGACGCUGAUGCGUUGUUGGGUAGGGGAGCGUUCUGUAAGCCUGCGAAGGUGGCCUGUGAGGGUUGCUGGAGGUAUCAGAAGUGCGAAUGCUGACAUAAGUAACGAUAAAGCGGGUGAAAAGCCCGCUCGCCGGAAGACCAAGGGUUCCUGUCCAACGUUAAUCGGGGCAGGGUGAGUCGACCCCUAAGGCGAGGCCGAAAGGCGUAGUCGAUGGGAAACGGGUUAAUAUUCCCGUACUUGGUGUUACUGCGAAGGGGGGACGGAGAAGGCUAUGUUGGCCGGGCGACGGUUGUCCCGGUUUAAGCGUGUAGGUGUGUGUUCCAGGUAAAUCCGGUUCACUUUAACACUGAGGCGUGAUGACGAGGCACUACGGUGCUGAAGCAACAAAUGCCCUGCUUCCAGGAAAAGCCUCUAAGCAUCAGGUAACAUCAAAUCGUACCCCAAACCGACACAGGUGGUCAGGUAGAGAAUACCAAGGCGCUUGAGAGAACUCGGGUGAAGGAACUAGGCAAAAUGGUGCCGUAACUUCGGGAGAAGGCACGCUGACACGUAGGUGAAGUGAUUUACUCAUGGAGCUGAAGUCAGUCGAAGAUACCAGCUGGCUGCAACUGUUUAUUAAAAACACAGCACUGUGCAAACACGAAAGUGGACGUAUACGGUGUGACGCCUGCCCGGUGCCGGAAGGUUAAUUGAUGGGGUCAGCGCAAGCGAAGCUCCUGAUCGAAGCCCCGGUAAACGGCGGCCGUAACUAUAACGGUCCUAAGGUAGCGAAAUUCCUUGUCGGGUAAGUUCCGACCUGCACGAAUGGCGUAAUGAUGGCCAGGCUGUCUCCACCCGAGACUCAGUGAAAUUGAACUCGCUGUGAAGAUGCAGUGUACCCGCGGCAAGACGGAAAGACCCCGUGAACCUUUACUAUAGCUUGACACUGAACAUUGAGCCUUGAUGUGUAGGAUAGGUGGGAGGCUUUGAAGUGUGG